GACGAACGCUGGCGGCGUGCUUAACACAUGCAAGUCGAACGCUGAAGCCCUGGCUUUUGUUGGGUUGGAUGAGUGGCGAACGGGUGAGUAACACGUGAGUAACCUGCCCUCUUCUUUGGGAUAACGCCCGGAAACGGGUGCUAAUACUGGAUAUUCACUGAUCUUCGCAUGGGGGUUGGUGGGAAGGUUUGUUCUGGUGGGGGAUGGGCUCGCGGCCUAUCAGCUUGUUGGUGGGGUGAUGGCCUACCAAGGCUUUGACGGGUAGCCGGCCUGAGAGGGUGACCGGUCACAUUGGGACUGAGAUACGGCCCAGACUCCUACGGGAGGCAGCAGUGGGGAAUAUUGCACAAUGGGCGAAAGCCUGAUGCAGCGACGCCGCGUGAGGGAUGGAGGCCUUCGGGUUGUAAACCUCUUUCGCUCAUGGUCAAGCCGCAACUGUGGGUUGUGGUGAGGGUAGUGGGUAAAGAAGCGCCGGCUAACUACGUG
rnacentral:rRNA from 1 species